ACCGGGCUGGGGGUGCAGGGCUCCUGGAACUCUCGAAGCCAGGCUGGUCCAAAAGGAGCAUCCUCUUUCCAGCCCACUGGAAGGAAGCCUGCCCUCAAGACCACGCUUCUUCAUGGUGUGAAGAAAAGCUCCGGCAGAGGUGGUGUCCUUCAAACUGGUGGCAUCUGCCCUGACCCAGCCAAGCCAGCAGUGUUUCCAAGCCUGGUGGAUGAAAGCAGCUUCAUGUCUUUUCCUUGAGCUAGAGCCAGGCAGAUGAGAUGCUGCUGCUUUGUGGCUCUGCAGGGGCACAACUGGCAGGAGUUCUACCCUUGGCUGUGAGUUCCCUCUUAUGGGCCUUCCCAGCCCGUGGACCGGGCUGCAUUCAGAAGGCUGGGUCCAGAUCCCACACUGAACACUGGCUACUGCUCCGGGGAAUGUUUCAUGUGGACAACACAAGCAACCAGAGCAGUGCUGAACAGGGACCAUUCUUCCAGCUGGCAGUUGAACCCUUGUGUGGUGACAAGCCCUUUGUGUAGCACCUGCUCUGGGCCAUGUCCUGGAGGGAGUAAGAGCCCCUGAAAGGGCUGCUGAGGCUGCAGAACGGUGGUGGUGGGGGACUUCUACAUUAUUGGUGGCAAUGUAAGCUAGUACAACCAUUACGGAAAUCAGUAUGGAGGUUGCUUGAAAAACUACAA